rnacentral:rRNA from 3 species
GGGGACUAGAUCCCCUUGAAGGGUCGUUCGAGACCAGGACGUUGAUAGGUCAGGUGUGUAAGCGCAGUAAUGCGUUCAGCUAACUGAUACUAAUUGCCCGUAAGGCUUGAUCCU